UACCGUCCCCAGACGAAAUAUACACAAGCGCCGCCAUAAAAUAGUGCAGCCAAAAUUAGAACGUACUAUUGCUAAUGCGGUUACAUUUGGUUCUUUUGUUUGCUUUUUACAAUUAAAUAUAUUUUUUAAAUUUUUGUCGAUAUAAGCUGUAUGUAAGUCUUUCAUUUAAAGUUCAGCAGCAUUCCAGAUGUUUACGCGCAUUGAUACAAGAGAAGUCUUUUUGUACUGUGCGGAAUCCACGCAGUGCAGGGCGGCCAUUGUGAGGUCAGCCCAGAUGUACAAGAUGCCACAUGCGUCUGGUGAUCUUUGAAGUGUUCAGCUUCAAGUGUGGAAUCAUAUUAUACCUACUGCAGGUUGCUGAGACAACACUACCUGUCCCUUGAUGGGAACAACAGUAGCUGUUGCAAUGUUAUCUUCCAUACCCAUCCAAAUAUAAACAGGUGACAGAGCAAAACUAUUGGCAAUGGCAGUACAUCCAGCUUACUCGGGUUCUGUUAGUCAGGUCUUAAGUAUUAGUAUUACAGCUGUCCAGUCUCUUGGAAACCCAGACUUCGGGGACUGUGCCUCUGGUACAGUGGGGGCUUGUUCAGCUAAGUUAGAUGAGUUUGCUGGAUGUCAAGGCCACAAAUAAUGUUAAGUUCCUUUUGCUCUUGUCCCAGCUUUCCUGAGGUCUUGUCCCAGCUUUCCUUUCAACAAAUAUCUUCCAACUUUAUGGUUUCAUCACUGUACGUGGCAGAGCCGAUAACUGCAUGUAGAUGACAGUACACGUGAUUCAUGUUGCUUGUGUUCUAUCUCAAUUAGGCGGGUGUCCCCGACCCCCUACUCUCGGACUCUGCACGUCCCUACAGCUACACGGACUGGACGUGACCGGCCCUGAGGCCCGUCUGAGUUCCUGUUACCACAAGUACCAUAAAAACAAAUGGCAAUCGAACAUGGGCACCGACUUCUCUCCCCAUCAUCUCGCUAAUUCGUACUAUCCAGUCAAAACACUUGACUAUGACCGGGUAAAAGCCGUGCAAUGCAGGACUGUCCCUCAAGCAUUAGAACUACCCACCUUGGUUUACUUCACAUUAGGCCAUACCAAUUUAAUUUGUUGGUUCUCGGAUUUUUUCCUAAAAAAAUUGAAGCGACAGGGCGAAAAAAAAAAAAAAAAAAAAAA